GAUGAAGAACGUAGCGAAAUGCGAUAAGUAAUGUGAAUUGCAGAAUUCAGUGAAUCAUCGAAUCUUUGAACGCACCUUGCACCCUUUGGCAUUCCGAAGGGUAUGCUCGUUUGAGUGUCAUUGUACUCUCACACUCUCCGAUCCUAUGGAUUCGGGGAGCGGUGGACUUGGGUGUUGCUGCCUUUCCUUGUGGCUCACCUCAAAUGCGUCAGUGCACCUCUUGGUUGGACAUAGUACGGCGUGAUAAGUGUCUUCGCCGGCACCUCGCAAGAGGGUGGCCGAUCGGGAGCUCUGCGCUUUCAAACCGUCUUCGGACAAUUUCUGACAACUUGACCUCAAAUCGAGUAGGACUACCCGCUGAACUUAAGCAUAUCAAUAAGCGGAGGA
rnacentral:misc_RNA from 1 species